GUUGGCUCAAUACGCAGAGCAUGAGACUCUUAAUCUCAGGUCCAUGGGUUCAAACCCUACAUUGGGCAACA